GAGGUAGCCACUGUCUGACUAAAUUGUUCAACCGGAACAUCUGUCACAAAAUGUCUGUCUGAAUGAGAAUGGUACACAUUGGAAACAUCUCGUCUUAAGGUACAUACCUGUCUAUAUGUUUCUGUGGUUCGCAUUUCUCCUGGCGGUGACACCUUGGACUAUCUUCUGGCCAAAUAAAGAACCUGGUAACAAAUCUAGGAAAUGAAAGGCUUCUCGGAGACAUAGUUAAGGUAACAGAUGAAACUGGCACCUAUUUGUUAUUUAUGAUAUCAAAUUGCAAAAUAUACUUUCAGUGUUUACAAACAUGGGGUUGCAUUUGUAUAUGUGCUACAUAUCGAGUCAGAAUUUGCCAUUGGGGAUCUGGUCAAAUUACAUGGAUAAUUGUUAUCAUGAUGAAAACACAAGUUUCAGAUACCAACAAUCAGUGUCUUA